AGAGUUUCGAUCCUGGCUCGGGACGAACGCUGGCGGCGUGCUUAACACAUGCAAGUCGAACGAUGAAGCCUAGCUUGGCUAGGUGGAUUAGUGGCGAACGGGUGAGUAAUACGUGAGUAACCUACCUUUAACUCUGGGAUAAGCCUGGGAAACUGGGUCUAAUACCGGAUACGACCAAUCUCCGCAUGGGGUGUUGGUGGAAAGCGUUAUGUAGUGGUUAUAGAUGGGCUCACGGCCUAUCAGCUUGUUGGUGAGGUAACGGCUCACCAAGGCGACGACGGGGUAGCCGGCCUGAGAGGGUGACCGGCCACACUGGGACUGAGACACGGCCCAGACUCCUACGGGAAGCAGCAGUGGGGAAUAUUGCACAAUGGGCGCAAGCCUGAUGCAGCGACGCCGCGUGAGGGAUGACGGCCUUCGGGUUGUAAACCUCUGUUAGCAGGGAAGAAGAGAGAUUGACGGUACCUGCAGAGAAAGCGCCGGCUAACUACGUG
rnacentral:rRNA from 1 species